GUCGUACGCACUGGCCCAACUGAUUGAUGGUGCUUGCACCUGAUUGACGAUGGAUCACCAGUGAGUGGCGGACGGGUGAGUAACACGUAGGUAACCUGCCCCGGAGCGGGGGAUAACAUUUGGAAACAGAUGCUAAUACCGCAUAACAACAAAAGCCGCAUGGCUUUUGUUUGAAAGAUGGCUUUGGCUAUCACUCUGGGAUGGACCUGCGGUGCAUUAGCUAGUUGGUAAGGUAACGGCUUACCAAGGCGAUGAUGCAUAGCCGAGUUGAGAGACUGAUCGGCCACAAUGGAACUGAGACACGGUCCAUACUCCUACGGGAGGCAGCAGUAGGGAAUCUUCCACAAUGGGCGCAAGCCUGAUGGAGCAACACCGCGUGAGUGAAGAAGGGUUUCGGCUCGUAAAGCUCUGUUGUUGGAGAAGAACGUGCGUGAGAGUAACUGUUCACGCAGUGACGGUAUCCAACCAGAAAGUCACGGGUAACUACGUGCCAGCAGCCGCGGUAAUACG
rnacentral:rRNA from 2 species